CUGGAUCAGGACACAAGAGAGCAGAGGAAAAACACACGUAACAAAACUCAAGAAAAGAUCUUGUGGUUGUUGCAACACUGCUGUUGCACUGCAAACAAAUGCUGCAACAGCCAGUGGUCAUCAGCAAAUUCAGCAGGCAGAUGAGGACUUGGUUUAUUCUGCACCAACAUUUACUAGUAGGAAAGCUAGCAAAGGAGGGACAAGGGAUGCAAAAACAGAG